AUUGAACGCUGGCGGCAUGCCUUACACAUGCAAGUCGAACGGGCAGCACGGGAGCAAUCCUGGUGGCGAGUGGCGAACGGGUGAGUAAUAUAUCGGAACGUGCCCAGUCGUGGGGGAUAACGUAGCGAAAGCUACGCUAAUACCGCAUACGAUCUAUGGAUGAAAGCGGGGGAUCGCAAGACCUCGCGCGAUUGGAGCGGCCGAUAUCAGAUUAGGUAGUUGGUGAGGUAAAGGCUCACCAAGCCGACGAUCUGUAGCUGGUCUGAGAGGACGACCAGCCACACUGGAACUGAGACACGGUCCAGACUCCUACGGGAGGCAGCAGUAGGGAAUAUUGGGCAAUGGGCGCAAGCCUGACCCAGCCAUGCCGCGUGCAGGAAGAAGGCGUUAUGCGUUGUAAACUGCUUUUAUACAGGAAGAAACGACCCUUGCGAGGGGCAUUGACGGUACUGUAUGAAUAAGCACCGGCUAACUCCGUG
rnacentral:rRNA from 1 species